CCUCUCUCUCUCCCACGACACAGGCGGCGGCGCCACCAUCCUCGUGGCGUGGUCAGAUGAGGAAUGGACGAGGCGCGCGAGGGGAUAUGGCAGACGCGCUCAAGCCGAGGCGCCACGAGGGGAUCCAGCGUGAAGGGAUAGACGAGCGAAGCCAUCCCUUCAAGUAGUUCCGCUUACCUCUCAUUGCUGGCGACCUCAACCUUGGGCGGAUCCUAGGUCCGCCGCCGCCACCGGCUCACAGGCCCGCUGCCAUGAUGGUGUCCGAGGCUCUCCCAACCCCGCCCCUUUUUUCAUUCGGCAAUGGUGUGGUAUGCUCCACCGUGCCGGAAGAGGGCCAAACGCCUUCCACAGUGUCGAGCCCAUGGAGUCGUUCAAGCACGCAACAUCCUUGAUGAAAUAGUUGCCUGCUCUUAUUUUUUCUCCAUUAGAGAUGAUGCAUGAGAUGUGACCCCGCAUUGAUUUUUUUAUCGAUCAGGUGACUGCUUUGUACAAUCUGAGAGAAAAAAAAUGGAGCUAUACCCUCUCUGCCUUCCAUUGAGACCCCCGACAUUUAUCCGCCAUGUUCGCUGUUUAGUUCUGUGGGUUGUUGUGCUUAUUUGUUUGGAAUUUCUAUAUUGGAAUUGGAAUUGCUUGGAACAUGUGCCUGACACACAACUGCGAUCAUGGCUGCUAGAAUGGUACAGUUGUUAGAAUUUCUGCAUUUGAAUUGCUCAGAAAAUGUGUUUUGACUCAUGCAGGGCUUAUGUUUGAUGUACAAUAUCCAAGAGGCACGUGAGCUGCAAGAGUUCACAUUCAGAUUUAACGAGAGACUAACACUGUUGCGACCAUAAGUGCUGGUGAUUUCUGUACAUGCAUUGAACCAACUAAAGUUGACAUUGAUUAUGUAGCUUCUUCCUUGGGCGCAAGCAUUGCGGAUAUCAAAUGCACCAAUGGUUGAAGGAUCCCAUCCAUCCACUGAGAGCAUUGCAACUUUCGACAUGCCAUUGAUUAAUCUAUCUGUUUAAUUAUAUUCCAUCAGAUACUCCAUCCUUUAAUUAUAUUGCCGAUGUCACUGACAUAUAUGUAACUAAGAGAAAAUAGGAUUUUGUAUGGAUGUUAGACUAUUAUUAUUUUGACCUGUUUCACUCUAAAGCUUUGUCGAGAUUAGUAUAGUGAUCAAUUUCGUGGAUU